AAACCAGCACCUCAAGUGGUCAGGAGGAUUAUUGGGCCUAAAGCAUCCGUAGCCUGUUCUAUAAGUUUCCGGUUAAAUCCAUUAGCUCAACUAAUGGGCCGCCGAAAAUACUGUAGAACUAGGGAGUGGGAGAGGUAGACGGUAUUCGGUAGGAAGGGGUAAAAUCCUUUGAUCUAUUGAGGACCACCUGUGGCGAAGGCGGUCUACCAGAACACGUUCGACGGUGAGGGAUGAAAGCUGGGGGAGCAAACCGGAUUAGAAACCCGGGUAGUCC
rnacentral:rRNA from 1 species